GAUCUUCAAGAAGAAGUACGCCGAUGUGUUCAAGGGCGAUACCAACUGGCGCAAGAUCAAGACCGUGACCAGCGACACCUAUGCCUGGAACAUGAGCUCGACCUAUGUGCAGAACCCGCCGUACUUCGAGGGCAUGAANNNNNNNNNCCUAUCAAGGACGUGCUCGAUGCGCGCAUCCUUGCGAUGUUCGGCGACAAGAUCACCACCGACCACAUCUCUCCGGCCGGUUCGAUCAAGCUGACCUCGCCCGCCGGCAAGUAUCUGUCCGAGCAUCAGGUGCGGCCCGCCGACUUCAACCAGUACGGUACGCGCCGCGGCAACCACGAAGUGAUGAUGCGCGGCACGUUCGCCAACAUCCGUAUCAAGAACUUCAUGUUGAA
rnacentral:misc_RNA from 1 species